AACGCACAUUGCGCCCGGCAGUAAUCUGCCGGGCAUGCCUGUCCGAGCGUCAUUUCGACCCUCGAGCCCGCCUCUUUCUUUGCUGGCGGGCUCGGCGUUGGGGCGCUACGGGGGAGAGUUCUAUCUUCCCCCCGUAGGCCCUGAAAUGAAGUGGCGGUCCCGCCGCGGCGCCCCCUGCGAAGUAGUGUACUCACAGAGCUCGCAUCGGGUCCCGGCGGAGGCCAGCCGUCAAACCCCUCUAUCUCAAGAUGGUUUGACCUCGGAUCAGGUAGGGUUACCCGCUGAACUUAA
rnacentral:misc_RNA from 1 species